rnacentral:piRNA from 1 species
UGAAGUCUGAGGAAAACAGACUGCUGC